rnacentral:lncRNA from 1 species
GCCGUCCCUGUCUGUUAUGUCUUCUCUCUCUCACUAGUCGAACACCUAUGCUCUCAGGUAAUUUUUCUUCAACUUUCACUUUAUCCAUAUUGAUCACAAUCCCUUUCUCCAGAUUGAACUAAAUUGUUUAAAUCGUGUUGCAAUGGCUUUUGUGAUUCACAUUACUUAGGACUUUUAUUCAAAAGAUAAAGAAACUCUCUCACAUGAAAAUGCAAACGUGAGUUUGCUUGAUUAAAAGAAUUGAAAAGGAAAAGCCUCCGGCAAUGUAUUUAACUAGAAUUGGUCGAUUAUGUUCUUGCACAAGUGUCUAAACUACAUCUUCUUAUUUAUAUAGUUGAAAAAAAUGUGUGUACCAUAUUCGAAACGUACUCAAUAUAGUAAAAUUUUAAAGGCAAGAUUAUGAAAGUAAAUUCAUAGAGCUUGAAGGACGAAAGAAUAAUUUCAAGUUUCAUACCCUUUAAUAGUUGCACUUUGCACCUCCAUAAUAUAUUGAUUCUCAUGCUGGAGAAAAUUUCCUUCCCUUUCUUUAGGUCACCGGAACAUAGGAAAUCCAAUACACAUUUCGGCAAUAAUCUAAACGGAGCUUAAGAAAUGAAGGCCACAAUAUCUUCAUGAUAUUGAUUUUCUCAACCUAAUUUUCGACGUAAACCUCUUAAGAUGGAGUAGAAAGAUAGUUAACCUAUUGAAUUUGAGGGGAUGUCUUAUAGGUUUUAAGAUAAUAAAAAUUGGUCAAAAAUUAGGCCGUGACCAACACAAUUAUAAAAAGAAAACUGUUUGAUGUUAGGAAGUCAACCAAAUCUCAUCUUAUUUUCUUUGACUAACUUCAGCACAAUCUUAUCUACUUCAAAAUCAUGAAAAAACAAAUCUUGUUUGAUUAAUUAAUAUAUAUAGCUCUAUCUUGAUCAGGAUGAAAACAAAGAAAAAACUAGUUGAAAAGUUAUGCCCUCAUUUGGUAGCAAAUUUUUGAUAGUUAUUUCACAAUUUCAAUCGUCAUUUUUGACUUCUUUUCUUAUUGGUGGAAAACACCUCUCUCUCUCAUGUUAAAAAAAUCAAUUAUCAUAAUCACUAGCAAACAGACUCUAUAACAAACCCCCCCCUUCCCCCCCCCUUUUCAAAAUUGCUUGCCAUUUUAUGUCAAUAUUAAACAGAUGGGCUAUACCCUUAAUCCCCUUUUUGUUCGUUUCUCUAUUAAAUAAAAGUGUGUUAGAAAAGAGACAAGAAAAGGAGCAUAGAAUUAAAGCAAAACCUCAACAACUAAAUCAUAGAUGCUCAAGUAUAUAAUAGCCCCCUUCCUUCCCUGGCCGCCUUCCAACCUGCACAAAUACACUCAAACGGCAGUUUUCCUAUGUGGAUUGCUUGAUUGUGAGACUGCCUGAGUAGCUCGACUGGUUGUUUGGAAGUCUCAAUUAAAAGUUAAAUUGUAAGUUAAUUUUACGUGCCACUUCAAUACCUACGGAGUGUCCCACUACGAUAAACUUCUCUAGCAAUAUCUAUAGAUCCUAAACUACUAGCCUUGAGAUUAUAAAACACCUAGUAGAGACUCAAUAUCUAUCUCUAAAUCAAGUCUAUCAUAGAAAUCGUGAGAAUUCAUAUCUUGUUCAUUUCCAUGCAACACAAGUAACGUGGAACUGGGGCUCAAGCAGUUAUCACAAUAUGCAACUAUUCAAAUGCUGUUGAUAUAGUUCAAACAAGAAACAGAACUGUGCACACACUUGCAAAUGAAAGGAAAAUACACAUACUUAAAAAUAAAAUAAAAAAGAAGUGGAAAAACUCGAGGCAGGGAUGUAAAUGUCAUAACGAAUUUCUCAAACUUACCAUCAAAUUCUUUUUCUUUUAGUCAUGUAGCACUAACACUUGCUGUACCCUUGAUUUUCAGACUAUGUUGGAUAUUCUAUCACCUAAUGACCAGAAAACCACUAUUCAAUUGCAUCUGAAGCACAAAAAUCACGGUAUGUAGUCUACCUACUGAUUCAAAAUGUAAAUAAUCAGAUAAAGAUAGUUUUUUCUUUAUACUGCUCCACAAAGAAAAGUCCCAAUAGUUAAGUGGCAAAAAUUUACUAGUGGACUGUGUAGUCUGUGUUGGUAAAUUUAACAACUCCAUUUAUCAGGUGACGGAACAAUCGUCUCCUUUUAUUUCCUAAAAGAAAAGACAUAAAGAACAGAAGAUAUAUAUAUAUAUAAUUAAAACCAAACCUCUUAUGAUGAAGCCUAUUGAUUCUUCUUAAUCUUCAAAGUGGAAGAACGGGGUUGAAGAUCUUGACUGGAAGUCCUGAUUAUAAAUAGAAAUGCCUCUACCAGCAUGCCGCCAACCAAUCCAAGGAUUCCUCCAGCAGC